CUGCGGUGAUGGAAAACAUUUUUCGUCAACAGCAUCUCACUGUGUGAAUGGUGACUCCUGUGGGCUGAGCAG